GGUUAAACCUCUAACUCUCUUACUCGAGCACUUCUUUUGAAACAGAAACUCAAGUUAGAACCCAUACAUAACACGUACACUGAUUCCAUCAUAUAUAUAAAUUUGCAUAUGACAACAAGACCCAAACUCAAUGAUGUUUAUUUAUCGUCUGUGCAUAUACAUACAUACAUGAAGCAUGUUUUUUUUAAAAAUAGAAAAGAAGUAGAUAUUGAAGCUCUGUUUUCUUUUAUCCUUGUUUUCGAACUGCUGUGUCGAGUCGGGUAGACGAGUGUGGUGGCUGUGUGAAUUGAGUCGGGAGGUGGACGGAGGCACGGCACGGCAGCGGCGCUGCUGUCGCCCGGCCACGGUGAGAGAGAGGGAGCUAGGGCUCGGACGCCGCUCUUCGCGGUGGGAUGUCGGGCCUGUUUCAGCCGAGAGAAGGGAGAACCGAGGGGUAGUGGUUGUCGCCGUUGCUCCGGCGAGCUCCAGCGGCCGUGAGAGCAGUUGAGAGGGAGACGAGCAGCGAGAGUGGAAGAGGGAGGCCAGAGCUCGGCGGCCUUGGCUGCUGUUGCUCGGCCACGGUCGGAGAAGUAGAGGAGAGUCGGAGUCAGCGGCGGUCGGUGGCGGUUCUCGCUGCUAUCGCCGGAGUUCCAGAGGAAGGAGGAAGGAGGAGAGGGCGGUCUAGUCGGGAACCUGUGUUGAACUUGGCCCCGUCAGAGCUUCUAGCUCGAUUGUGUCGAGUCGAGAGGAUUGGAAUGGAGGCUCUCAUAGAGAGGAUGCACGGCUCGUUUGACGAGUGAGUUGCAGGACGGCGGCGACCUUGGCCUUGCUGCCGUCGACCUGAGGAGGGAGAACCA
rnacentral:lncRNA from 1 species